UCUGAAAACAACAGGCUCCAGCAGAGAGGUGGUCUUGGCUGCAGACACAAGACAAGGAAAACUUGAGCGUCUCCUGCUCACAUGUUCAUUGCAGUCAGAUCUUUUAAGCAGGUUGAAAAAAUGGAAUUGGGUGGAAUGCUGA